ACGCUUACCUGGUGCCUGGGCCUCGUUGAUCACCGAGGACGAGACCCCAGGGCGAGGCGCGGGCGUUGCACUGCGCUCGCGUUCACCCCUGCCACUACCCCAAAUUGGGGCAGAUUAGGCAUGCAAAUUGC
rnacentral:snRNA from 1 species